rnacentral:rRNA from 1 species
GACGAACGCUGGCGGCGUGCUUAACACAUGCAAGUCGAACGGAAAGGCCCUGCUUUUGUGGGGUGCUCGAGUGGCGAACGGGUGAGUAACACGUGAGUAACCUGCCCUUGACUUUGGGAUAACUUCAGGAAACUGGGGCUAAUACCGGAUAGGAGCUCCUGCUGCAUGGUGGGGGUUGGAAAGUUUCGGCGGUUGGGGAUGGACUCGCGGCUUAUCAGCUUGUUGGUGGGGUAGUGGCUUACCAAGGCUUUGACGGGUAGCCGGCCUGAGAGGGUGACCGGCCACAUUGGGACUGAGAUACGGCCCAGACUGCUACGGUAGGCAGCAGGGGGGAAUAUGGCACAAUGGGCGGAAGCCUGAGGCAGCAACGCCGCGUGCGGGAUGACGGCCUUCGGGUUGUAAACCGCUUUCGCCUGUGACGAAGCGUGAGUGACGGUAAUGGGUAAAGAAGCACCGGCUAACUACGUG